rnacentral:lncRNA from 15 species
AUGACCAGUAGUUCCUGUUGUUUCUGUAGUUCCUGUAGUUCAUGUAGUUCAUGUAGUUUCUGUAGUUCCAGUAGUUCCUGUUGUUUCUGUAGUUCCUGUAGUUCAUGUAGUUUCUGUAGUUCCUGUAGUUCCUGUUGUUUCUGUAGUUCCUGUAGUUCAUGUAGUUUCUGUAGUUCCUGUAGUUCCAGUAGUUCCUGUUGUUUCUGUAGUUCCUGUAGUUCAUGUAGUUUCUGUAGUUCCUGUAGUUCCAGUAGUUCCUGUUGUUUCUGUAGUUCCUGUAGUUCAUGUAGUUUGUGUAGUUCCUGUAGUUUGUGUAGUUUCUGUAGUUCCUGUAGUUUCUGUAGUUCGUGUAGUUUGUGUAGUUCCUGUAGUUCCUGUAGUUCCUGUAGUUUCUGUAGUUUCUGUAGUUCGUGUAGUUUCUGUAGUUCCUGUUGUUUCUGUAGUUUCUGUAGUUGCUGUAGUUUCUGUAGUUUAUGUAGUUCGUGUAGUUUCUGUAGUUCCUGUUGUUCCUGUUGUUUCUGUAGUUUCUGUAGUUCCUGUAGUUCCUGUUGUUUCUGUUGUUUCUGUAAUUUGUGUAGUUUCUGUAGUUUCUGUUGUUUCUGUAGUUUCUGUAGUUCCUGUAGUUCCUGUAGUUCCUGUUGUUUCUGUUGUUUCUGUAAUUUGUGUAGUUUCUGUAGUUUCUGUUGUUUCUGUAGUUUCUGUAGUUCCUGUAGUUCCUGUAGUUCCUGUUGUUUCUGUUGUUUCUGUAAUUUGUGUAGUUUCUGUAGUUCCUGUUGUUUCUGUAGUUCCUGUAGUUUCUGUAGUUCCUGUAGUUUCUGUAGUUCCUGUAGUUCCUGUAGUUCAUGUAGUUUCUAUAGUUCCUGUAGUUCCUGUAGUUUAUGUAGUUUGUGUAGUUCCUGUAGUUUCUGUAGUUUCUAUAAUUUCUGUUGUUCCUUUAGUUCCUGUAGUUUCUGUGGUUCCUGUAGUUCGUGUAGUUUCUGUAGUUUCUGUAGUUCCUGUAGUUUCUGGAGUUCCUGCUGUUUCGGUAGUUUCUGUAGUUCCUGUUGUUCCUGUAGUUCCUGUAGUUUCUCUAACGAGAUUGUUGUUGUUUUACUGACGAACUUUAAUGUAACUAGAUAUGAUAUGGCAGAAUCCUGGAUGACGUUGUGGUUGUCUAAUUUCCAACAGCACUGGAAGGCAGCAGCUGUGUGA